CCCUUAGAUGUUCUGGGCCGCACGCGCGCUACACUGACGAAUGCAACGAGCUUAUAACCUUGGCCGAAAGGUCUGGGUAAUCUCCAAAUUUCGUCGUGAUGGGGAUAGAUUAUUGCAAUUAUUAAUCUUCAACGAGGAAUGCCUAGUAAGCGCAAGUCAUCAGCUUGCGUUGAUUACGUCCCUGCCCUUUGUACACACCGCCCGUCGCUCCUACCGAUUGAAUGGUCCGGUGAAGCGUUCGGACCGUGGCCUUUGGACGGUUCGCCGUCUGUUGGCUGCGGGAAGUUCGUUAAACCUUAUCAUUUAGAGGAAGUAAAAGUCGUANCA
rnacentral:rRNA from 1 species